rnacentral:lncRNA from 1 species
CUUGGUGGAGAGCGUAAGUUCUCAGAGCUUUUUGGUUCAGGUUUGGUCUUUGGCUUGGAUUGGUUUGGUUGGGUUGGCAGCGUGGCCGUCAGUGGAGAGUGUAAAUUCUCCCUGGCAGUGGUGACAGACGUGUCCUAAUCCAAAGGCCACCCCUCUUAAGGGACGCCUUAGAGGAUUCGGGGGGGGGCAAAAGUGCCCCCAGUUGGUAGAGGGACAAGAGUGCCCUCGUUUGUACUCUGCUGCCAACCCGUUUGGUUUCACCGGCAAUUCUUUCUCUCAGAUUGGAUUCAGUCUGUCUUUAAUCUUUGACUCUGAACUUGUGUUAACCGUUUACUGUUUGUCCCUGUCUCUGCCUGAGUAACUCCCAGUAUGGGACAAAGCCAUUCCACGCCUCUGUCCCUGAAGCCUUUCUUGGUCCCUGCCUCCACUCCGACCCCUUCCCCCAAGAUCCUAUCACUCAAUCCUUCUGCUCCUCCCCCUUUUCCCUCCAUUCUCCUUGAGUCACAAGAUUGUAGAUCUUGGGGUUUUGAACGAACAGGAGCUGCAUGAUGAUCUUUGUGUGUCAUUUUGUCUGUGUCUCUGUUAAGUGUGAUGGCAUUGUUUUACUUUGGACCAAUGCAGAGUCCCAAAUUCCAAAUGGCCUUAGAUGUGUGGAAGUAACUUUAGCUAAAUUUUAACCUAAUGCUUCUCUUGUGAGUGACCAAAAGUCAAUAGAACUGCCAGCUUUUCUGUUCUCACCUUUAACACCUCUCUUAGCUGUGUUUUAAAGAACUUUGAUAAACUUUACCCCCCUUUGUUAAGCGAGAUUAGGGAAGCAGUGUUUUCUUUUCUUCCCGUAGUUGGCUUGAGCACGCCCACUGCAGAGGGAAAUGCCUGGGGUCUAAAAACUUUGAUAUCUCGCUUAAACUUUUCUCAAACUCAAAACAACUGCAAGCAGAAGAUGAACUUUUUGGGAAGCUGACUAC